rnacentral:rRNA from 1 species
GGGGAAUCUUCCGCAAUGGGCGAAAGCCUGACGCAGCGACACCGCGUGGGGGAUGAAGGCUUUCGAGUUGUAAACCCCUUUUCCCGGGGAUGAGAAAGGACAGUACCCGGGGAAUAAGGUUCGGCUAACUACGUGCCAGCAGCCGCGGUAACACGUAGGAACCGAGCGUUGUCCGGAUUUACUGGGCGUAAAGUGCGCGUAGGCGGUUCGUUAAGUCUCAUGUGAAAUCUCCCGGCUCAACUGGGAGGGGUCAUGGGAAACUGGCGGACUUGAGUGCAGCAGAGGAGAGCGGAAUUCCCGGAGUAGUGGUGGAAUGCGUAGAUACCGGGAGGAACACCAGAGGCGAAGGCGGCUCUCUGGGCUGUGUCUGACGCUGAGGCGCGAAAGCGUGGGUAGCAAACCGGAUUAGAUACCCGGGUAGUCCACGCCCUAAACGAUGGAUGCUAGGUAUGGGGGGUAUAGACCCCCUCCGUGUCGGAGUUAACGCGAUAAGUAUCCCGCCUGGGGAGUACGGCCGCAAGGCUAAAACUCAAAGGAAUUGACGGGAGCCCGCACAAGCGGCGGAGCAUGCGGCUUAAUUUGAUGCAACCCGAAGAACCUUACCUGGACUUGACAUCACGGGAAAAACCCUGGAGACAGGGUGUGCGUAAGCGUCCGUGACAGGUGGUGCAUGGUUGUCGUCAGCUCGUGUCGUGAGAUGUUGGGUUAAGUCCCGCAACGAGCGCAACCCCCGUCCUAUGUUGCCAGCACGUAACGGUGGGGACUCAUAGGAGACUGCCGGGGAUAACUCGGAGGAAGGUGGGGAUGACGUCAAAUCAUCAUGCCCCUUAUGUCCAGGGCUGCGCGCAUGCUACAAUGGUCGGUACAACGGGUAGCGAUCCCGCGAGGGUGAGCCAAUCCCUUAAAGCCGGCCUCAGUUCGGAUUGGAGUCUGCAACUCGACUCCAGGAAGUCGGAGUCGGUAGUAAUCGCAAAUCAGCAAAGUUGCGGUGAAUACGUUCUCGGGCUUUGUACACACCGCCCGU